GAACAAAUGAGUUUGGAGCAGAAAUUUGGGUGGAAAAUGCAGGAAAGACCAAAUGAAGAAUGAAAGGCUGCUCGUCCUCCAACCCCCCAUGCUGAAGUCCCCAGACACCUCCUGGAGAGCUGGUCUCCAGGCACAGCUGGAUGGAGACCCCAGGAAUGCUGGACUGAGAUGGGAAGCAAUGAAGUGCAAAAAUCCAGGAAGCACUCUGGGACUGCAGUUUUUACCGAGGCACCAUCAUCUCCAUUUGCUCUUGGACAGAAGAAUCGAGGUAAAGGAGCAAAGGCAGCCGCACACACGGGGUUAAUCCCAUCCCCUUGGCCAGG
rnacentral:lncRNA from 1 species